rnacentral:rRNA from 1 species
UACGUAGGUGGCAAGCGUUGUCCGGAUUUACUGGGCGUAAAGAGCGCGCAGGCGGUCGUCCAAGUCGCGUGUGAAAGCCCCCGGCUCAACUGGGGAGGGUCACGCGAUACUGAUCGACUCGAAGGCAGGAGAGGGAAGUGGAAUUCCCGGUGUAGUGGUGAAAUGCGCAGAUAUCGGGAGGAACACCAGUGGCGAAGGCGACUUCCUGGCCUGUUCUUGACGCUGAGGCGCGAAAGCUAGGGGAGCAAACGGG